AACGAACGCUGGCGGCAUGCCUAACACAUGCAAGUCGAACGAAGGCUUCGGCCUUAGUCGCGCACGGGUGCGUAACGCGUGGGAAUCUGCCCUUUGGUUCGGAAUAACAGCUGGAAACGGCUGCUAAUACCGGAUGAUGACGAAAGUCCAAAGAUUUAUCGCCAGAGGAUGAGCCCGCGUUGGAUUAGGUAGUUGGUGGGGUAAAGGCCUACCAAGCCGACGUUCCAUAGCUGGUCUGAGAGGAUGAUCAGCCACACUGGGGCUGGGACACGGCCCAGACUCCUACGGGAGGCAGCAGUGGGGAAUAUUGGACAAUGGGGGCAAGCCUGAUGGAGCAAUGCCGGGUGAGUGAUGAAGGCCGGAGGGUUGUAAAGCUCUUUUACCCGGGAAGAUAAUGACGGUACCGGGAGAAUAAGCCCCGGCUAACUCCGUG
rnacentral:rRNA from 1 species